rnacentral:rRNA from 1 species
UCAAGUGACUAAGUGCAUGUGGCGGAUGCCUUGGCGAUCACAGGCGAAGAAAGACGCGGCAGCCUGCGAAAAGCUGCGGGGAGCUGGCAAACGAGCUUUGAUCCGCAGAUAUCUGAAUGGGGGAACCCACACCGCAAGGUGUAUCCGUGACUGAAUACAUAGGUUACGGAGGCGAACGAGGAGAACUGAAACAUCUAAGUAUCCUCAGGAAAAGAAAUCAACCGAGAUUCCGGCAGUAGCGGCGAGCGAACCCGGAGGAGCCUAGCUUUUGAUAGUACGAACUUUAGCCGAAAGGUCCUGGAAAGGCCUGCUAUAGUGGGUGAUAGCCCCGUAGGCGAAAGAGUUCGUAUGGUACUAAGGAAGCGAGAAGUAGAGCGGGACACGUGGAAUCCUGUUCGAAGAUGGGGGGACCAUCCUCCAAGGCUAAAUACUCGUGAUCGACCGAUAGUGAACCAGUACCGUGAGGGAAAGGCGAAAAGAACCCCGGGAGGGGAGUGAAAUAGAACCUGAAACCGCAUGCAUACAAACAGUAGGAGCCUCACCAGAGGUGACUGCGUACCUUUUGCAUAAUGGGUCAGCGACUUACAUUCUGUGGCGAGCUUAACCGAAUAGGGGAGGCGCAGCGAAAGCGAGUUCGAAAUGAGCGUCCAGUCGCAGGGUGUAGACCCGAAACCAGAUGAGCUAUCCAUGGCCAGGUUGAAGGUGUGGUAACACACACUGGAGGACCGAACCGACUAGUGUUGCAAAAUUAGCGGAUGAGCUGUGGAUAGGGGUGAAAGGCCAAACAAAUCUGGAGAUAGCUGGUUCUCCCCGAAAACUAUUGAGGUAGUGCCUCGUGUGUCGCUCCAGGGGGUAGAGCACUGUUUUGGCUAGGGGGACAUGGAGUCUUACCAAACCAAGGCAAACUCCGAAUACCUGGAAGCGUAAGCACGGGAGACAGAGCACCGGGUGCUAACGUCCGGACUCAAAAGGGAAACAACCCAGACCGCCGGCUAAGGUCCCCAAUAACAGCUAAGUGGAAAACGAAGUGGAAAGGCCGUGACAACCAGGAAGUUGGCUUAGAAGCAGCCAUCCUUCAAAGAAAGCGUAAUAGCUCACUGGUCGAGUCCUUCUGCGCGGAAGAUGUAACGGGGCUAAGCUGUUAACCGAAGCCGCGGAUGCACUGAUUAUUCAGUGCGUGGUAGGGGAGCGUUCUGUAAGUCUGCGAAGGCGGUUCGAGAGGACUGCUGGAGAUAUCAGAAGUGCGAAUGCUGACAUGAGUAACGUUAAAGCAGGUGAAAAGCCUGCUCGCCGUAAGCCCAAGGAUUCCUGCUCUACGUUCAUCGGAGCAGGGUGAGUCGGCUCCUAAGGUCAGGCCGAAAGGCGUAGCCGAUGGGAAUCAGGUUAAUAUUCCUGAACCUGCGUCAGAUGCGAUGGGGGGACGGAGCAUGAAAGAUCAUCCGGGUGUUGGAUGUCCCGGUUGACGAGCGUAGGAGGUCUGCAGGCAAAUCCGCAGACGCAUCUCCGAGGCGAAGACACGUGCCGCCACGGCGGCGAAGUGAUCGGAAGUGCUUCCAAGAAAAGCCUCUAAGCACCAGUCUGACGCGGACCGUACCGCAAACCGACACUGGUGGGCGAGCUGAAUAUGCUCAGGCGCUUGAGAGAACUCGGGAGAAGGAACUCGGCAAAUUGACACCGUAACUUCGGAAGAAGGUGUGCCGUAGUACCGUGAGAGGAGAGACACCUUGAGCGGGAAUCGGUCUCAGAGAAUAGGUGGCUGCGACUGUUUAUUAAAAACACAGCACUCUGCAAAGUCGAAAGACGACGUAUAGGGUGUGAUGCCUGCCCGGUGCUGGAAGAUUAAUUGAUGGGGUGAGAGCCCUUGAUCGAAGUCCCAGUAAACGGCGGCCGUAACUAUAACGGUCCUAAGGUAGCGAAAUUCCUUGUCGGGU